CCUUAAGACUUCCACGUCACUGUGACGAGAAGCGCGGUUUUCGUCAUUUUGGUUUAUUUUCGCUUGUCUGUUUUCUCGCUUUUGUGCCCCCUGCGCCAGGAGGACGUCUUAACUGCCACGGAAAGGUUUUCUGCGCUGUCCAGCCCCCGGGAGGGAGACUGAGAAGCUGGCUUCUCUGUUGGGCGGCAUGCUUCUGUGCUGGGAGCCUCAGGCAGCUCCAAAAUAUUGGCGGUCCUUGAUGACCCUAAGUCUGGGUGUAAGGGUCAGUCUUAGUGUCCUCGCUUCGUGGUUACAGAACGGGUAAUUGUCAGCAGCAGGAGCUCAAGAGGAGUGCAAAGCUGUGACGGCCCUUGUUUUCAAAUCUCACCGAACAGCUGGUUGUAGGCGCUGCUUUCUACUAGAUCGGAUCCCGGCCACAUUGCACCUUGAUGUCUAACCUCACUCAGAAUGGUAGCCUCAUUGUAGCUGAAGCCCGCACCAGCAUAUUUUUGAGCCUUUGGUUGACAACUGUGCCUGAAGAUCUAGGGGGCACUGUAGUGUCUGCCUGAAGUUUUGCCCAUCUUGAUUGCUUUUCCUGAGAUCUUGCAUCUUAGGUUUCUCCAUACCUUUCAAUUGGAUGGUUUUCUGGUAUAACAAGAGGUUAAGGGACCCAGACAGUCUGUUAAAAUCCCAGAAAGGCGAAAUCAAGAUUUGUCUUCUGGAAGUAGAACAAGAUCUUGAAACCAGUUUCUAACAUUUUGUCUUUCUUGGGUAACUUUUCUGAAGUUUGGAUAAUGCUGUUAUCAUCAGUGACUAGAAGUUAUCAGGUAGAUCAGGGCAACUAGGUAAAUGAGGCCUGACCCACUGAUUUUGUGAGCUAGGAGUGUUUUUACACUGUCAAAUGAUUGGGAAAAGAAAUCAAAAAAUGAGUAUUUCCUGAUAGGUGAAAAUUACAUGGUAUUUAAGUUUUAUUGUUCAUAAUUUGUGUGUGUUCAAUUGAGUUUGGCCCAAAUCAGUCUCCAUGCUGGAAUGAUAAAGUUCUCCCCAGAGUGGCUUCUAUAUAUAUAGUGAACAGUAUCUUGAUAUAUAAACAAAUUUUGUUAUUAGGCAGUUGAGUCUCAGUUGAUUAGCAGUGGGACCUCUGGCCAAUCAAGUUUUUUUUUUUCCUCUGUCAUUUUCUUUUCACUUUAAACUAUAAAUAUAGCUUAUACAUGUGCAGUGGGGUAUUCUAUUUGGAACCAGCUUUCAUCUGGAAUGUUGCUUGGUCCUAGAACUUUUUUCAUGCUGAAAUAAGUUUAACUCAUCUCAGAUUUUUAAUAAUUGGAAUGCAACACAUUUAUUUUUAUAUUGUCUUUUACUGAUUUUACUGUACAACAGUAGAGUUGAGUAGUCAUAAGUAUCAUCAUAUGGUUGCAAGGCCUAAAAUAUUUAUUGUUUAGUCUUUUGCAGAAAAAUGUUGCCAUUGAGAUGGAGAAGAAAUGUCUCUGAAGAAGGAUCUGAGGAGUUCCCAGAGAGAAGGAGGAAAUUGACUCUGGACCACUGGGGUUCUUGUUUUUCGGCGGACACAGCAUCUUUGUUUGUACGUGGUGCUGAGGAUCGAACCCAGGCCGCACGCAUGCCAGGCGAGCGCGCUACCGCUUGAGCCACAUCCCCAGCCCGCAACCCCACUCUUGAUACCACUUUCUGUUUUAGUCAUCUUUGCUGCCAUGAACAAAAGACCUGACAAGAACUAUUAGAAGAGAAAAAGUUUAUUUGAGGGCUCACUGUUUCAGAGGUCUCAGUCCACAGAUGGCUGCCUUCAAUCUUUGAAACCUGAAUUGAGGCAGACCAUUAUGGCAGAAUAGUAUGAUUUGAGAGAAGCAGCUGGGGAUAUGACACCAGGAAGCAGAGAGAGGGAACUUUGUUCACAAGGACAAAAUAUUAUACCCUAAAGGCAUGACCCCAGGUUCCCACCUCCAGCCACACCCUGCUUGCCUAGAGUUGCCAUUCAUUUAAUCCCUAUCAAUGGAUUAAAACAUUUGAUAACCCAAUAAUUUUACCUAUAAACUUUCUGCAUUGUUUUACACAUGAGCCUUUGGGGGACACCUCAUAUACAAACCAUAACACAUUUUUUUCAUAGAUGGUAUAAACAACAAUAUGUUUGACAACCAGAUCUGGUAACCAUGUAAGAAAAUAGGCACUUUUAUAUACUGAUUGUGUUACUAAAAGCUCAGUUCUUAUCUCCAAUGCCAAUCUGAUAAUUAGGACAUGAUUCUGAGAAAAAGGAAAAAGAACUUUUAUUACUUUGUUAGUAAAGGAGAAAUAGAAGUUGUGAUUCUAACUAUCGGGGGAACAGGGGACUUUUAAAGAGGUGAUUCAAAGGCUAUGUUCCUGCAGUGCCCUGUUGGGUCAUAAUGCACUCGUAGCCUUGAGAGAGAGUUGUUUCUUAAGUCUUCUGGCAUAAGUCCUGAAGUCUGAAUUACUUCAUUCCCAUGGCUGUGUGCUCAAGGAAAGGUAGCUGGCUUAGGAUGGGAAGAAGUUAAUCUUGCUUGCCUCAUGAUUAGGGAGAGGGAGAAGAGAAAGGAAAAAAUGUCCAUUUUAAAAUAAGCUGCAGGGGCAGAGCAGUCAGGAUUAUGUUCAAAGCAUGAAGUGGACCCCUGUUACAGUUGAGUGAGUGUAAAUCAGUGUACACUUCUUUGAGAAUAAUUUGGUAAUCUUUAUCAUUUGGAUAAACAUUUCCACUGCUAGGAAUUUACCCUUGGAAACACUUCCAAAAUUCUAAUCUCAUAACAGAUACUAGAAUGUUUUCAUUUACAAUGCAAAGAGAAAAGAUAGAACCUUGGGAACUAUCUUGGGAACCCCCAAGGGCUGUCAUGGGAGAAGACAUGUCUCAGGAGAAGGGUCCUAGGAGUUCCCAGAGGAGAGGGGCAACUCAACUCAGAAUCACUGGGUUUUUUGGCAUACCUAAUGGAAAAUAAUUUCAGCACAAGCCAGGAAAAUGUGGCAACAUAUUUAUUUGGGAAGCUAGACACACAUGCAAUGGAGAAUGAGUGCUAUCUUGAGAGUGAGAAGCCAUGCCUUGGGCUGGGGAUUCAAUAUUUAUAGAAGGGCUAUAACAGGGAACAGACUGAAGGUGGAGCCAGUUUUCCCUAUGCUUGUGUAUUUCUCUAAUUUUACAGGGCAUGUUGCUCAAGACUUACAACUGUGCUUUCUGUAUCUCUAGUGGGCAUUUCCUUUAAGAUUCAGUAUUUCUCUGAGUCCUACAUCCCUAUCUCAGGAUCGAUAUGGUUUGCAUAUGCUUUGUACCCCAAAGAUUCAUGUGAUAGAAGUUUAGUCCCUAGUGUAUUAGUGUUGAAGUGGUGAAACAUUUAGAGGUGGGGCUUACUGGAAGCUAAUCACAUUAUAGGGGUUCCACCUUCAUGAAUGGAUUAAUGCUCUCUUGAAGGCCAGGGCCAGGUCUCAUGAAAGUGGAUCAGUUCCCUCGUGGUAUGAGUCUUGUAAUUCCCCUGCAUCCUUCUUACAGGACAGCUUGCUUCUUUUGCAUGUACUCCUCUGUUUCCAUACAUGAUGAGACCCUCACCAGAGCCAAGCAGGGUGAGAUCCUCACCAGGUGCCAUAAUCUUAAAAUCCAGAAUGGUGAAUAACAUAAACCCCUUAAGAAAAUAAAGUAUUCCUGGGCAUGGUAGCACAUGCCUAUGAUCCCAGCUGCUCAGGAAUCUGAGGCAGGAGGAUUGCAAGCUUAAAGCCAGCUUCAGCAACUUAGUGAGGCCCUAAGCAACUUAGACUCUGUCUUAAAAAAUAAAGUCUUGGGAUGUGACUCAGUAGUCAAGCACCCCUGGGUUCAAUUCCUGAUACUGUAAUAAAUAAGUAAAUAAAAAAUAUCCAUCGUUAGGCAUUUUAUUAGAGCAACAAAAAAAUGGACUAAGACAGAAACUAUAUAUAGAAAAUUGAUAGAUCCAUGGGAUGGAAUAGUAUGUAGACUUAAAAAUGUAAAUAAUAAUUUUUUUUCUGCUCAUUGAGGAUCAUGAGAUUCACAUUGAUUUAUCAAAACUGCCUACCAGUUUUGGGUGUGACUCAGUGGUAUGGUGCUUUUCUCACAUGUACCCCAGGUUCAGUACCCAACAUUGAUAAACAAAACACAAACCUGCAAAUCAAAGAUUUCCUGGGGCAGUUUCCUCAGAAAUAGAAUGAAAAAGGCAUCCUCUUUUUCCCUGCCUUUACAUUAUUUUCAUUCAAGAGUAGGUCCAGGGGAAUAAAUUAUGGGGGCUGUGUUUCCUUAAUUACUCAUCUAACCAUAGCUACAUUUGAGGUUCUCCAGGACUAAAUUGUCUUUUCCAAGAGAUAUGAUUUAUUCAUUCCAUAAUCCCAAGUACUUUGCUUGUCAAAUAUACCCCUCUGCCCAAAUUAACAUUCUGCUUAUAUUCUGUAAUUUUGAUUGCAAGUUUUGGAGAGCAGAAAUCUAUUCAUUUUUUUCUCCUAAAAAAACAGGUUUUUUACAAAUGUAAAAUGAGUUCCCAAAUAUCUGUGGGAUGUGAAAAUAAGACAGUAACUGGAGCCUAAGGAUGUAGCUCAAAUGAAGAGAACUUUUCUUAGUUGCAGUUAGUUGUACUAACUAAUACAUAGGCCAGAACACACUGAAUUUCCUGAGAUUUCUCAACAGCGUUACCAAAAAAUAAUAAUAAUAAUAACAAGAAUAUCCCUAACCAUGAGCAAGGCUUUACAUAUAUACAUGCCCGGGUUUUUGGUUAUAUUCAGAACUCUAAAAACCCUGUUCCCUAUACUCCAAAUAUCUUACUAAAUCAUUCAGGGGAUAAUGAUAACAAUAUAAGAAAAUAUCUGUCCUUCUUAAAAGAGCAUUGUUAUCUUUCUUUUUCUGUAAUGGGUUUUAAUCCAGGGGUGCUCCACCAUUUUGCUACAUUCCCAGCCAUUUUUAUUUUAGUUUUGAGACAGGGUCUUGCUAAAUUGCUGAGUCUGGCCUCAAAUUUGCAAUCCUCCUCUCUCAGCCUCCUGCGUUACUGGGAUUAACAGUCUUGUGCCACUAUCCCAGGUUAGGAUUUUUAUAUUAAAAGUGCUGAAGUUACACUACAGAAACUGCUAUUCAUUUAAUUUUAUUUUUUAGAUUGAUUCUUUAGGUUGAUUUAAUUUUUAAAAUGUAUAUCUGAGGACUUUGUUCUCAACCAUGCACAGCUGUCCUUCUAAAAAUUCUCAUGAGGUAAAUAUGUUUAACCUGAUUUAAAUAUUACACAAUGUAUACAGAUACCAAAUAUUUUCAUUUCCAUUAAUAUUUAUGUACUACAGGGCUGGGGUUAUGGCUGAGUGUUAGAGUACCUGCCUGGCAUGUGUGAGGCCCUAGGUUCGAUUCUCAACACUACAAUAAAUAAAUAAAUGAAUAAAGCUAUUGUAUCCAUCUACAACUACAAAAAAAAAUUAAAAAAAAUAUGUACUCCAUUAAUAAUUAUGUUUUUUGUAUCAUUUAACAAAAAUAAAAUAGAUGUGUUGUAGAAAGCAAUAAGAAAGCAUAAAUAAAAACAAAUUUAUAAUA